GGGGGGGGUGUCGGAUUAUUGGGCGUAAGAGCUUGUAGGUGGUUUGUCGCGUCUGCUGUGAAAAUCCGAGGCUCAACCUCGGACUUGCAGUGGGUACGGGCAGACUAGAGUGUGGUAGGGGAGACUGGAAUUCCUGGUGUAGCGGUGGAAUGCGCAGAUAUCAGGAGGAACACCGAUGGCGAAGGCAGGUCUCUGGGCCAUUACUGACACUGAGAAGCGAAAGCAUGGGGAGCGAACAGGAUUAGAUACCCUGGUAGUCCAUGCCGUAAACGUUGGGAACUAGGUGUGGGUCUCAUUCCACGAGAUCCGUGCCGCAGCUAACGCAUUAAGUUCCCCGCCUGGGGAGUACGGCCGCAAGGCUAAAACUCAAAGGAAUUGACGGGGGCCCGCACAAGCGGCGGAGCAUGCGGAUUAAUUCGAUGCAACGCGAAGAACCUUACCAAGGCUUGACAUACACCGGAAUCACUCAGAGAUGGGUGCGUCUUCGGACUGGUGUACAGGUGGUGCAUGGUUGUCGUCAGCUCGUGUCGUGAGAUGUUGGGUUAAGUCCCGCAACGAGCGCAACCCUCGUUCUAUGUUGCCAGCACGUCAUGGUGGGGACUCAUAGGAGACUGCCGGGGUCAACUCGGAGGAAGGUGGGGAUGACGUCAAAUCAUCAUGCCCCUUAUGUCUUGGGCUUCACGCAUGCUACAAUGGCCGGUACAAAGGGCUGCGAAACCGCGAGGUGGAGCGAAUCCCAAAAAACCGGUCUCAGUUCGGAUUGGGGUCUGCAACUCGACCCCAUGAAGUCGGGGUCGCUAGUAAUCGCAGAUCAGCAACGCUGCGGUGAAUACGUUCCCGGGCCUUGUACACACCGCCCGUCAAGUCACGAAAGUCGGUAACACCCGAAGCCGGUGGUCCAACCCUUGUGGGGGGAGCCGUCGAAGGUGGGACUGGCGAUUGGGACUAAGUCGUAA
rnacentral:rRNA from 1 species